GGGAGAAAUCGUCCAUCUACUCCCGGAUAGCCGAGAUCAGAAACCCUCAGCAAAACCACCAUCUGCGGCAAUAAAACCCGAGGACCUGGAGCGGAGAACAAGGAAAUAGGAACAGGAUUUUACGACGGCAGCUGCAACAAGGAGGUCACUGCAGAUGUAGAAGAAGAUUACCUGGAGUCCAGAUAUCAGUGAGGCGGAA